rnacentral:rRNA from 1 species
GUACACACCGCCCGUCGCUCCUACCGAUUGAAUGGUCCGGCGAAAUCUUCAGAUUGCUGGCGAGGCUAACCCCUCGCUGUGAGAAGUUGAUUAAACCUUAUCAUUUAGAGGAAGGAGAAGUCGUAACAAGGUUUCCGUAGGUGAACCUGC